UGCUCAUGGGCGUGGUCUCAACACACAGUCAGCUGUUGGGGAUCAGAGGCCGCACUCACCGGAGCAGUGAGGCAGAACUAACUGGGAGAGGGUCCUUCUGUGACACCUACUGCAUCACCGGGCUGUGUGAAGUGACUCAGCUGCCAGAACUCACACAAUAUCAUUCUACACCAAAACCUCAUGGGAAAAAUGCUCCACGACCCUCAGGCUUAAACAGCUGUACUGGCCGCUCCCCAGAUCUCCAGCUCCCUGACCCUCAAACUCCAACUGCAGCACCAGCUCCGCCCCGGGUCUCCAGCUCCACAAUCCUCAAACUACAACAGCAGCACCAGCUCCCCUGUGGAUCUCCAGCUCAAUGACUCUCAGACUUGGGAGGCAGCACCGGCUCCCCACCAAGCCUCCAGCUCCACAACCCUCAAACUAGAAAGCAGCACCGGCUACUCCCUGGGUCUCCAGUUCCCUCAAACUUCAGCUAUAGCACUGGCUCUUCCCCGUGGCCACCAGCUCUGCAAACCUCAACUUACACAGUGGUAGCACCAGCUCCUCCCUAGGUCUCCAGCUACACGACCGUCAAAAUUGAACUGCAACACCAGCUCCUCUUUGGCCUCCAGCUCCACAAUCCUCCAACAACAACAGCAACACCGGCUCCUCCCUGAAUCUCCAGCUCAACAACCCUCAGACUUGAGAGGCAGCACCGGCACCUCCCCAAGACUCCAGCUCCAUGACCCUCAGAUUUGAACAGCGGUAGCACCAGCUCCUGUCCAGGUCUCCAGCUUCACGAUCCUUAAACUAGAACAGCAGUACCGCCGCCUCCGUAGGUUUCCAGUUCCAUGAUCCUAAGACAUGAAUGAAAGAACUGGGUCACCCCAGGGCUCCAACUCCAAGACCCACAGAUUUGAACGGCAGCACCGGCUCUUCCUGGGAUCUGCAGCUCCACAGCCUUCAAACUAGAUCAGCAGCUCCGACUCCUCCCUGGGUCUCCAGCUACACAAUCCUCAGACAUGAACAAUAGCACCGGCUCCUCCUUGGGUCUCCAGCUUCACUACUGUCAGGCUAGAACAGCAACACCGGUUCCUCCCUGGGUCUCCAGCUCAAUGACUCUCAGAUUUGAAAGGCAGCACCGGCUCCUCACAAAGUUUCUGGCUCCAAGGCCCUCAAACUAGAAUAGCAGCAGCUGCUGCAUCUUGGGUCUCCAGCUCCACAACCCUCAAAGUAGAAAAGCAGCCCUGGCUCCUCCCCGAGUCUCCAGCUCCUCAAGUCUGAGGGUUGUAGAGCUGGAGACCCGGGGAGGAGUCAGUGCUGCUGUUCUACUUUGAGGGUCGUGGAUCUGGAGACCCAGGGUGGAGCCGGUGCUGCUGUUCUAGUGUGAGGGUCAUGGAGCUGGAAGACCCCGGGAGGAGCUGCUGCUGCUGUUCUAGUGUGAGGGUCAUGGAGCUGGAAGACCGCGGGAGGAGCUGCUGCUGCUCUCCUAGUUUGAAGGUCAUGGAGCUGGAGACCCGGAAAGGAGCCAUUUGAACAGCAGCACUGGCCCCUCCCCAGGUCUCAGGCUCCACGACCCUCAGACUUAAAAAGCUGUAGUACGGGCUUCUCCCUGGGUCUCCAGCUCUACAACCCUCAGACAUGAACAGCACCACCGGCUCCUCCCCCUGUCUCCAGUUCCACGAACCUCAAACUACAACAGCAGUACCAGCCUCUCCCCAGGUCCCCAGAUCCACGACCCUCAAAAUAGAAUGGCAUCAUCAGCUCCUCCCUGGGUCUCCAGCUCCCAAACCCUCAAACUUCAACGGACACAGCAGAUCCUCCCCACAGUUAAACAGCAGCAUGGGCUGUUCCCCAAAGCUCCAAAUCCAUGACCCUCUGACUUAAAUGGUGGUAGCACCAGCUCCUCCCUAGGUCUCCAGUUCCAUGACCCUCAAACUACACAGUAGCACCGGCCCCACCCCAGGUCCACAGCUCCACCAACCUCACAUUAGACACUAAGACUACCUCCUCCCCACUCUCCAGCUACACAACCCUCAGCCUUAAACAACAGCAGCACCAGCUCUUACCUGGGUCUCCAGCACCACAACCCUCAGCCUUAAACAACAGCAGCACCAGCUCCUCCCUGUGUCUCAAGCUCCACAACCCUCAGACUAGAACCGCACCCCUCCUCCCUGAGUCUGCAGCUCCAUGACCCUCAAACUAAAACAGCAACACAGGCUCCUCCCUGAAUCUCCAGCUCAACAACUCUCAGACUUGAGAGGCAGAACCGGCAACUCCCCAGAACUCUAGAUCUGUUCAGACUAGAACAGCAACACCGGUUCCUCUCUGGAUCUCCAGCUAAGUGACUCUCAGACUUCAAAGGCAGCACCAGCUCCUCCGUGGAUCUCCAGAUCCACAACAUUCAAACCAACAUGGCUCCUCCCUGGGUCUUCUGUUUCACGAUCCUUAAAUUAGAACAGCAGCACCAUCUUCUCCCUGGGUCUCCAGCUCCACGAAACUCAAGCUAGAAUAGCAGCACCGGCUCCUCUGGGAUCUUCAGCUCCACGACCCUAAGACAUCAGUGGCAGCACCGGCUCCUCCCCUGGACUCCAGCUCCAGGACCCUCAAACUUGAACAGAAACACCAGCUCCUCCCCAGGCCUCCAGCUCCUUGACCCUCAUAAACAAUCCCUUCUCAUGAAAUGUAGCAGUCAGGAAAACUGUAGAGGAAG
rnacentral:lncRNA from 1 species